GACGUAGGUGGCGAACGUUAUCCGGAAUUAUUGGGCGUAAAGGAUGCGUAGAUGGUGUAGUAAGUUAUCGGUGGCAAAUCGAGGCUCAACCUCGUGGAAGUCGGUAAUACUGCUAUGCUAGAGGAUAGGAGAGGUUAACGGAACUCCCUGUGGAGCGGUGAAAUGCGUAGAUAUAGGGAAGAACACCAAUCAGGCGAAGGCAGUUAACUAGUCUAUUCCUGACAUUGAGGCAUGAAAGCGUGGGGAGCAAAACGG
rnacentral:rRNA from 1 species